rnacentral:rRNA from 1 species
GACGAACGCUGGCGGCGUGCUUAACACAUGCAAGUCGAACGGAAAGGCCCUGCUUUUGUGGGGUGCUCGAGUGGCGAACGGGUGAGUAACACGUGAGUAACCUGCCCUUGACUUUGGGAUAACUUCAGGAAACUGGGGCUAAUACCGGAUAGGAGCUCCUGCUGCAUGGUGGGGGUUGGAAAGUUUCGGCGGUUGGGGAUGGACUCGCGGCUUAUCAGCUUGUUGGUGGGGUAGUGGCUUACCAAGGCGUUGACGGGUAGCCGGCCUGAGAGGGUGACCGGCGACAUUGGGAAUGAGAUAAGGCCCAGAAUCCGACGGGAGGCAGCAGUGGGGAAUAUUGGACAAUGGGAGGAAGCCUGAUGCAGCAACGCCGCGUGCGGGAUGACGGCCUUCGGGUUGUAAACAGCUUUCGCCUGUGACGAAGCGUGAGUGACGGUAAUGGGUAAAGAAGCACCGGCUAACUACGUG